UUGGUGUUGUAGGGCGUUUGGUGGAUGCCUUGGUGCGUAUGGGCCGAAGAAGGACGUUGUAGCCUGCGAUAUGCCUCGGGGAAUUGGCUAGCGAGUGGUGAUCCGAGGGUGUCCGAAUGGGGGAACCUAGCCUGGGUUAUGCCGGGUUGCUGCCAGCUGAAUUGAUAGGUUGGUGGUGGGAACGUGGGGAAGUGAAACAUCUUAGUACCUGCUGGAAAAGAUAUUUUGUGAGUAGUGGCGAGCGAAAGCGAAGGAGCCUAAACCUUGUGUGUGUGAUACUUGUCGGGGGUUGCACAUGGGGUGUUGUGGGGUGUUGUCUUCUCGUUUCCGACAGGACGGGGCGUAGUGAUAAAUCAGGAGUAUAGGUGAAGGGUUUGGGAAGGCCUGCCGUAGACCGUGAUAGCCGGGUAGCUGAAAUGUUUCUGACUGCGUGAUGACAUGCCCGAGUAGCACGGGGCUCGUGGAAUCUCGUGUGAAUCUGCCAAGACCACUUGGUAAGGCUAAAUACCCGUCGUGACCGAUAGUGGAAUAGUACCGUGAGGGAAUGGUGAAAAGUACCCCGGGAGGGGAGUGAAAUAGUGCCUGAAACCAGGCGCCUACAAACUGUCAGAGCCACAUUUCAAUGGUGGUGAUGGCGUGCCUAUUGAAGAAUGAGCCUGCGAGUUAGGAUGUGUGGCGAGGUUAACCCGUGUGGGGUAGUCGUAGCGAAAGCGAGUCUGAAGAGGGCGUUUUUAGUUGCAUGUUCUAGACCCGAAGCGGGGUGAUCUACCCAUGGCCAGGGUGAGGCACGUGUAAGAGCGUGUGGAGGCCCGAACCCACCAGGGUUGAAAACCUGGGGGAUGAGUUGUGGGUAGGGGUGAAAGGCCAAUCAAACUCCGUGAUAGCUGGUUCUCCCCGAAAUGCAUUUAGGUGCAGCGUUGCGUGGUUCUUUGUGGGGGUAGAGCUACUGGUUGGCUGAUGGGCCUUAUCUGGUUACUGACGUCAGCCAAACUCCGAAUACCAUGAAGUUGAGCGUGGCAGUGAGACUGUGGGGGAUAAGCUUCAUAGUCGAGAGGGAAACAGCCCAGAUCGCCGGUUAAGGCCCCUAAGUGU
rnacentral:rRNA from 1 species